rnacentral:rRNA from 1 species
AUGGCGAUUGUCUCGCCAUCUACUGAUCUUCUAGCACUCCUCACCUUUCUCAUCUGCCUCCUCCAUUGUUGCGACGCGGGAUAUGAUGUCGGGGUCUACAACCCAAUAAUCUUGAUCCCAGGUAUCAGUUGCCCCAACCUGGAGGCGCGCCUGACCGAUGCCUACGUGCCGUCACUGCCCCACUGCGGUGCGCUCAAGGGGAAGGGGUGGUUCCCGUUGUGGAACAACACAUCUGACCUGGUCCGCCACAACUACAUGUCGUGCUUCGAGGAGCAGAUGCAACUCGCCUAUGACUCCACCCUCAAAGACUACCGGAACCUACCCGGUGUCGAGACGCAUGUGCCAGACUUCGGCUCCGCCCAUGGAUUCACCUCAAAGAACCUCGAUUCGCGGUGUAUACAUUAUGACCUUUAG